rnacentral:sRNA from 1 species
CGAGAGAAGGGGAACUGAGGGCUUCAGGUGGAGAGCCGUUUAGCCCUUUGCACAGAACCUGCUUGAAGCAGAGCUGAACGGAGACUGGAGUUACUGGAAGAAAAACAUCAUUUUCAGAGGUUGCAGGCCAUUGGUGCAGGCCACAUAGAUGGCAGAGGAAGUAACAAGAACACUUACAUUCGAAAACUCCAGAUGCAGAAGUAAAAUGACCAACGGCUAAACUACAACUGGUUGCAAUAGCUCACUUAGUAGUUGUCCCCUUCCUUCAAACAUCAAGCAUGACAUAGAUCAAAAUGCACAUUAGUUAAGGUGGUUAAAAAAAAAUCUGUGGGUUGGGGAUUUAGCUCAGUGGUAGAGCGCUUGCCUAGGAAG